GUGGAGCGGGGCGUGAGAGUAGUGGGUAGGCGGCCGCGGGGGAUGGCCUGAAGAAAAACUGCGAGUGAGUCGCCCCGCGGGGUAGAGGUACCUGGACCCAGGCGCCUCGUCUGGGAAGAACGAGGUUAGAAAGAACGAGUUAGAGGGAAGAAAAUAGCGCCCUCUUAUGACGGAGGGAGAUCUGAGUUGAGGGGAGAAGGCUGAGGUGCACCGAAGUGGCGGAGGCGACGGCGCUGAGGUCAGCCUGAGCUGAGAGGGCAGGCAGAUCAACCCUCAACCGAAGUGAACGAACUCGAGUGAGCUCUUCUCUUCUUCAGGAAAUUACUCCAGGAUUUGAAUCGUCACAAGAGAUUCACCAGAGGAUUUUAUACACUUGGGCUGUGGCAGCAGAUUAUACCACAACACCAGGCUAAAGAAGAAAAAUCACGUGAUCAUAUCAAUAGAUGCAGAAAAAACUUCUGACAAAAACCAGCUCUUAUUUACUGUCAGAACUCUCAGCAAACUACUAAUAGAAGGGAACUUACUCAACUUGAUAAAGAACAUGUGCAAACAUCUUUCAGCUAACAUGGUACUUAAUGAUGAGUGUACACCUGUACCACAAGCUACUCCUCCUUCCUGGCUGAGAGGACCUCAAGGUGUACUGCUAAAACUUCUGCCCUCUGGGAGUUUCUUCACCGUUUCCCUUCAGCAGCAUCUUUGAGUGAGUAUACUGGUACUAGUGUCAUGUGGACACCCUUCUGUAAACCAGGCCCAAGUUGGUUUAAAUUUUUUUUUAAUUUUUCAUUUAGAAAAUUUUAAAUUGACACAUAAUAAUUGUUCAUAUUUAUGAGGUACAUAGCUAUGUUGUGAUACAUACAAUGGAUAGUGAUCAAAUCAGGGUAAUUAGCAUAUCCAUCACCUCAAACAUUUAUCAUUUCUUUGUGUUGGGAACAUUCAAUAUCCUUUUUCUAGCUAUUUGAAACUAUAAGAUACUGUUAAUUAUAGUUAUUCCAUAGUAGUAUAGAACACUGUAACUUAUUUCUCCUAUCCAUUUGUAUCCUUUAACAAAUCUCUAUUUCCCUCUUCCCCCUACUCUUCUCAGCCUUUAGUAUCCUUUAUUCUACUUUUUACUUCUAUGAGAUCAGCUUUUUUUAGCUUCCACAUAUGAGUGAGAAC